GGCAACCCGACGAUGUCCUGAAAGCAGCAUUCAGUUCCUGGUAUUUGGACUGAGUUGAGCUUAUGGAUUCCCGGAGAUAUUUGACUCCAGAAUGAACUCUCUCAUUUUCCUUCGAGUGUAAAUGUGAAGAUUUAAUCUCUGCAACCCAGAAGCAGGAGUUUGUAUGGAAGAACCCAGUGUGCUGUGAUGUCCGCCAGACAGGAAAGGUGAACAGAACAUUGGGACAUUAAGGGUGAGUUAGUUCCC